rnacentral:rRNA from 1 species
GACGAACGCUGGCGGCGUGCUUAACACAUGCGAGUCGAACGGUGAAGGGGCCUGCUUUUGUGGGCCCUGGAUGAGUGGCGAACGGGUGAGUAACACGUGAGUAACCUGCCCCCUUCUUCUGGAUAACCGCAUGAAAGUGUGUCUUAUACGGGCUAUUCUGGGUCUGUCGCAUGAUGGGUCUGGGUAAGAUUGCGCCUUUGGGUGUUUUUGGUGGGGGAUGGGCUCGCGGCCUAUCUGCUUGUUGGUGUGGGGAUGGCCUACCAAGGCGGUGACGUGUAGCCGGCCUGAGAGGGUGGACGGUCACACUGGGACUGAGACACGGCCCAGACUCGUACGGGAGGCAGCAGAGGGGAAUAUUGCACAAGGGGCGGAAGCCUGAUGCAGCGACGCCGCGUGAGGGAUGGAGGCCUUCGGGUUGUAAACCUCUUUCGCAAGUGAAGCAGGCCUGCUCCGUGUGGGUGGGUUGACGGUAGCUGGAGAAGAAGCGCCGGCUAACUACGUG